rnacentral:SRP_RNA from 1 species
GCUGGGCGUGGUGGUGUGUGCCUGUAAUCCCAGCUUCUCAGGAGGCUGAGGCAGGAGAAUCAUUUGAACCCGGGAGGGGGAGGUUGCAGUGAGCUGAGAUUGCACCACUGCCCUCCAGCCUGGGUGACAGAGUGAGACUCUGUCUCAA